UCCCAGGACUGUGUCUCCUGGAGCUGAGGACCCCCCACACCUGGAGGAGGGGCCCUGCUCUGCUCACACACCUGGUGCUCACUCCAGUCUCUGCUCCCCAGGUUACAGCUGCCCCCACAACUCUGCCUCUCAGGUCCCCCUGCACGACUCCAGGGCAGCCGUUCCCAUCUAUGAGGAACUUCUAAACCGUGACACAAACAUUUAUUGUCAGAUCAACCACAAAGCAGAAGUUGCUCCAUACUUUCCCCAAGGAACUUGGGCAGCUGAGGGGAGGGGCCACGUGACCCACAGAGGCUGGGAAGGAGCUGAGCCUGUGCCCAAGGUUCAGCUCUGAGCCCAGGGAGCCACUGGGUGCUCGGGGUGGGGGCAGGUCCCUCCUGGACUCCUAGAGACCCAGAGAGGCUGCCCUGAGCUCAGGCUCAGCCAGGACAAAAUCCUCCCUUCCCAACCCUUAUGGGAUUGGGGGUCUUCCAGGAAAGUGAAAGGAGCCUGUGCCCCACCAUGGAUUACUUGGA
rnacentral:lncRNA from 1 species